rnacentral:rRNA from 1 species
GACGAACCGUACGAACGUUAUUCGGAAUCACUGGGCUUAAAGGGUGCGUAGGCGGCGCAGUAAGUUGGGUGUGAAAUCCCUCGGCUUAACCGAGGAAUUGCGCCCAAAACUACUGUGCUCGAGGGAGGUAGAGGUGAGCGGAACUUAGGGUGGAGCGGUGAAAUGCGUUGAUAUCAGGAGGAACACUAGCGGCGAAGGCGGCGCUCUGGGCCGGAACUGACGCUGAGGAGCGAAAGCGUGGGUAGCAAACAGG